UUUGUGCCAUUCUGAAAAAAGUGUUAGUUAUGGAGCAGAGAAGAUUAGCAUGGCACAUGCGAAAGGAUGACACGCAAAUCCGUGAAGCGCUCCUUAUUUUU
rnacentral:snRNA from 1 species